rnacentral:rRNA from 1 species
UACGGAGGGUGCAAGCGUUGUCCGGAUUUAUUGGGUUUAAAGGGUGCGUAGGCGGUUUUUUAAGUCAGUAGUGAAAGCCUCCAGCUCAACUGGAGAACUGCCAUUGAUACUGACGGGCUUGAGUACAGACGAGGUUGGCGGAAUUGAUUGUGUAGCGGUGAAAUGCAUAGAUACAAUCAAGAACUCCGAUUGCGUAGGCAGCUAACUAGGCUGUAACUGACGCUGAGGCACGAAAGCGUGGGGAGCGAACAGG